rnacentral:rRNA from 1 species
AGCAGCCGCGGUAAUUCCAGCUCCAAUAGCGUAUAUUAAAGUUGUUGCAGUUAAAAAGCUCGUAGUUGAAUUUCGGGAUCAAUUAAUUGGUCGUGCCUCUGGUACGUACUGGUUUUAUUGGUUUCUCCCUUCUGACGAACCAUGAUGUCAUUAAUUUGGUGUCGUGGAGAAUCAGGACUGUUACUUUGAAAAAAUUAGAGUGUUUAAAGCAAGCUAACGCUUGAAUACAUUAGCAUGGAAUAAUGAAAUAGGACGUUUGAUCCUAUUUUGUUGGUUUCCAGGAUCGACGUAAUGAUUAAUAGGGAUAGUUGGGGGCAUUAGUAUUCAAUUGUCAGAGGUGAAAUUCUUGGAUUUAUUGAAGACUAACUACUGCGAAAGCAUUUGCCAAGGAUGUUUUCAUUAAUCAAGAACGAAAGUUAGGGGAUCGAAGACGAUCAGAUACCGUCGUAGUCUUAACCAUAAACUAUGCCGACUAGGGAUCGGAUGAUGUAAU